rnacentral:lncRNA from 1 species
UCGGUAAAAUUUAUUCGUAUUAAAAAUUCAAUUUAAUCAAUAUUUGAAUAGUAUAUUUUGUUCAUAAGACUUUUUUUUCUAAAUAUUAUUAACCUCUUAAUGGGCUAUGUCAAAGCGGGCUACAAGGCCCAACAAAGCAACAUAGAAAAGAAAAGAAAUAACGGAUCAGCUAGGCGGAAGCGAGGCUCAGAUCCGGGUUAGCUACCGGAGACAUCGGCUCCCGUCAAGUAAGUCCGGCGUUAACAAAGGGGACUACUUUGCUCCACUUUCAGCGAUUCCAGUUCUUGACCGGAGCUAACCAAUCCGGACCGAAUCCCUAAAUUCACCGACAGAUCAUACCCGCAACACCCUUUCCGGACAAGCAAACCGAAAAUAACCGGACUCACCACCUCCUUCUUGUCUCGAACCUAGCAACAAAAAAGAUUUCGUAUCUAACCCCUCGCCGCCUGCGCCAUCGAUCCGAGAGGCUGAAUCCUUACCUGCACCUGCUUCAAACCGGGAGAGACGAAAACCAACUCGGCAGCAAUAAAGGAUGUUGGCUCAAACAGCACCGAAUCGCCAAACCUCGAGUCAGGCAUGACAGAUCUGAGCAAAUCUUCCGCUAAUUGCCUCAACAAAGGUGAAAACCCGCCGAUCCAACCCUAAACUUCCGCCGCCCUCCACGAAUUCGGACCUGUCUCUGUGAGCCCAGCCACCUUAAGCCUAACCACUGAGUCUUCAACAAUGGUAAGACAACAAAGGAAGCUUCCAGAUCCGGAGUCACGACUACGAAGAGCAUCAAGGGAGAAUUAACCACACCACUACACCACCAAAGAAGCAGGGCCAGCUUUGCCUAAGAUAAAGAACAAGAAAACUUUAAUGGGAGGGAGGAGAGCAGACUACAACCAGAAAAACCAGCUGCAAAAGAGAUCUCCUCCCUCGAUCUAUUUUGUGCGGCUAGGGUUUCUAUUUUCCGUUUUGAAAAAUUCAAAUUGCAACAUAUUCAAAAAAAAAAGUUAAAUUUUUAUUCAACAUUUGUAAUAUAUAUUUUAAUAUAAUAAAUUAAAAAUAAGAUCAAAUAAAGGUGAAAGGAGAAUAAUCAUUGCUUUUAUUUAGGGGGUUUGCAC